CUGGUAAUGCAGGGGACUCUAGCGAAACUGCCACCGUAAGGUGGGAGGAAGGUGGGGAUGACGUCAAAUCAGCACGGCCCUUAUGUCCAGGGCUACACACGUGUUACAAUGGUCGGUACAGAGGGCAGCUACCUGGUGACAGGAUGCUAAUCUCGAAAAACCCGGUCUCAGUUCGGAUCGAAGUCUGCAACUCGACUUCGUGAAGCUGGAUUCGCUAGUAAUCGUGGAUCAGAAUGUCACGGUGAAUACGUUCCCGGGUCUU
rnacentral:rRNA from 1 species